rnacentral:rRNA from 1 species
CAGGCCUAACACAUGCAAGUCGAGCGGCAGCGCGAGUAGUUUACUACUUGGCGGCGAGCGGCGGACGGCUGAGUAACGCGUGGGAACGUGCCCCAAAGUGAGGGAUAAGCAUCGGAAACGGUGUCUAAUACCGCAUAUGAUCUUCGGAUUAAAGCUUUAUGCGCUUUGGGAGCGGCCCGCGUCUGAUUAGAUAGUUGGUGAGGUAAAGGCUCACCAAGUCGACGAUCAGUAGCUGGUCUGAGAGGAUGAUCAGCCAGACUGGAACUGAGACACGGUCCAGACUCCUACGGGAGGCAGCAGUAAGGAAUCUUCCACAAUGGGGGAAACCCUGAUGGAGCAACGCCGCGUGCAGGAUGAAGGCCUUCGGGUCGUAAACUGCUUUUAUAAGUGAAGAAUAUGACUGUAACUUAUGAAUAAGGAUCGGCUAACUACGUGCCAGCAGCCGCGGUAAU